AGCGAACGCUGGCGGCAGGCUUAACACAUGCAAGUCGAGCGGGCAUCCUUGUGGUGUCAGCGGCAGACGGGUGAGUAACGCGUGGGAACGUGCCCUUCGGUUCGGAAUAACUCAGGGAAACUUGAGCUAAUACCGGAUACGUGCGAGAGCAGAAAGGUUUAUCUGCCGAAGGAUCGGCCCGCGUCUGAUUAGCUAGUUGGUGAGGUUACGGCUCACCAAGGCGACGAUCAGUAGCUGGUCUGAGAGGAUGAUCAGCCACACUGGGACUGAGACACGGCCCAGACUCCUACAGGAGGCAGCAGUGGGGAAUAUUGGACAAUGGGGGCAACCCUGAUCCAGCCAUGCCGCGUGAGUGAUGACGGCCUUAGGGUUGUAAAGCUCUUUUCUCCGGGACGAUAAUGACGGUACCGGAGGAAUAAGCCCCGGCUAACUUCGUG
rnacentral:rRNA from 1 species